rnacentral:rRNA from 1 species
AUACGGAGGAUGCAAGCGUUAUCCGGAUUUAUUGGGUUUAAAGGGUGCGUAGGCGGUUUGCUAAGCGGGAGGUGAAAUGCCGGCGCUCAACGUCGGAAGUGCCUCCCGAACUGGUGGACUUGAAUGACUCUGCCGUGGGAGGAAUGUGUAGUGUAGCGGUGAAAUGCUUAGAGAUUACACAGAACACCGAUUGCGAAGGCAUCUCACGAAGAGUUGAUUGACGCUGAGGCACGAAAGCGUGGGGAUCAAACAGGAUUAGAUACCCUGGUAGUCCACGCAGUAAACGAUGAUGGCUAACCGCUGGGCUUAUCAGUUCAGUGGCCAAGCGAAAGCGAUAAGCCAUCCACCUGGGGAGUACGACCGCAAGGUUGAAACUCAAAUGAAUUGACGGGG